rnacentral:rRNA from 1 species
CCUACGGGGGGCUGCAGUGGGGAAUAUUGGACAAUGGGCGAAAGCCUGAUCCAGCCAUGCCGCGUGAGUGAUGAAGGCCUUAGGGUUGUAAAGCUCUUUCAGCGGGGAAGAUAAUGACGGUACCCGCAGAAGAAGCCCCGGCUAACUUCGUGCCAGCAGCCGCGGUAAUACGAAGGGGGCUAGCGUUGUUCGGAAUCACUGGGCGUAAAGCGCGUGUAGGCGGAUCGUUAAGUCGGGGGUGAAAUCCUGAGGCUCAACCUCAGAACUGCCUUCGAUACUGGCGAUCUUAGAGUCCGGGAGAGGUGAGUGGAACUCCUAGUGUAGAGGUGAAAUUCGUAGAUAUUAGGAAGAACACCAGUGGCGAAGGCGGCUCACUGGCCCGGUACUGACGCUGAUAUGCGAAAGCGUGGGGAGCAAACAGGAUUAGAUACCCCUGUAGUC